UACGUAGGGUGCGAGCGUUGUCCGGAAUUAUUGGGCGUAAAGAGCUCGUAGGCGGUUUGUUGCGUCGGCCGUGAAAACUUGGGGCUUAACCCCGAGCCUGCGGUCGAUACGGGCAGACUUGAGUUCGGCAGGGGAGACUGGAAUUCCUGGUGUAGCGGUGAAAUGCGCAGAUAUCAGGAGGAACACCGGUGGCGAAGGCGGCCUUCUGGGCCUGUUCUGACGCUGAGGAGCGAAAGCGUGGGGAGCAAACAGG
rnacentral:rRNA from 1 species